rnacentral:misc_RNA from 1 species
UCUCCGUAGGUGAACCUGCGGAAGGAUCAUUACCGAGUGCUGGACCUCUGGGUCCUACCUCACCCCCUAUUCUAUUGUACCUUGCUGCUCCGGUGAGCCCGCCUCACCGCCGCCGUGGGCAAUCUCCCUGCGGGCCCGCGCCCGCCCAUCUGACUCUUCAACUCUGUCUGAAAAUACUUGCCAGAGCGAAUCCUUAAUCACCUAAAACUUUCAACAACGGAUCACUUGGUUACGGCAUCGAUCAAGAACGCAGCAGCUUGGAAGCACAUCCGACUGAAC